GUGUGAAGAUUAGCAGUAUGAGUGUGAGAGGAUGGGGUGUGGACAAGUUUGAGGAUGUAUGCAAGGAGCUCAGGGAGUGGAAGUUCAACUUAGUCGGGCUCACUGAGACUCACAUGAGAGAUGAUGUACGAAUGGAGAGAUGCGAAUAUGUUAUGAUUGAAAAGGGGUGUAAGACACAGGAAACACUGGGAGGAGGCGUAGCCCUACUCUACAAGAAAGAAAGAGGACUGAAAGUAGAGGAGAUUGAUGUGGGGGAGUGUACAAGUAGUGAAGAUGUUCUAGCAGUCAGAGUGGAAUGCAUGGAUGGUCAUGGCAGACCAGAGAAGGUGGUACUGGUGGUAGCAUACAUGACUGUCAUGUGUGAAAGAGCAGAGAGGGAAAAUAGGAGGAAGUAUGACAUACUUAAGAAAGUCGUGAGAGAGCAUGAAGAGGAGAGAGUGCUAGUUAUGGGUGACAUGAAUGCACAUGUGGGAAUAUUGGGAGAACAGGUGAACAGGAAUGGUGAAAUGCUUGGGGAGUUUGUUGAUGAACUGGAGCUGGAAAAUCUGAAUGUUACUUUAGCUGAGGGGCGUGUGACUUGGAGUGCAAGAGAGCAGGAAUCGGCAAUUGACUAUGUGUUGGUAAGUGGAAGAAUGCAUGAAAUUGUGUUGCAUAUGUGGAUAGAUGAGGAUGGUUUGGAUGAUAUUGUGUCUGAUCACAACAUGCUGGUUGUGGAGUGCUUGAUGCAGGGUGGGAAUGAAGUGAGAGCGGCAAGUAAGAAAAAGAAGUGGAGACUGAGAGAUGUAGGGUGGGAGAACUUUCAGGUUGAUCUGAGUGAGAGAAGUUGGGACAAUGUAAGUGUGUACGACGUGGAGCAUCUGAACGAGAAACUGGUUAAGGACGUGAGGGGUGCUGCUGAGAACCAGAUAGGGUUUGUGAGAGUAGGUAGAAGAAAGAAUGUAUGUAAACCAUGGUGGAAUGAUGAAAUCAGAGCAGCUAGAAAGGAGCAAAAGAGAAUGAGUAGACAGUGUAGAUGGCUGAGGAAAGAGAGGCAUGAAAGCAAUGAGGCAGAGAAUGAGUAUCAGAAUGCAUGGGCAGCAUAUGUGAAGCAGCAGCAGUUGACAAGACAAAUGAUAAUGAAUGCUAAAGUGAAGAGUAAAAAGAGUGUGAUUCAAUCUUUAAGGAAGAAAGGUAUGGAAGGUGGCUGUGAAUGGUACAAGUUCAUGAGAGGUGAGAAUAUGUCAGGCAGUGUUGGUGUGGAGAGUCUAAAAGUGGAUGGUGUAGUUAUAACAGAGAAGGAAGGAAUCAGGGAGGCAGUCAAAGGGUUCUGGGAAGAAGUAGGUGGGGUAGGUGAGAUGUUUAGUGUGAGAGAAGGAUGUGUGACACUGGAAAGGAAGAAUGCAGAUGAACUGGAUGAAAGAAUCAGUAGGGAGGAAGUGGAGAGGUGUGUGAGAAGGCAGAAGAAUGGCAAGGCAGCAGGUCCAGAUGAUAUACCAUAUGAGUUCUACAAGAAUGGUGGGGAGGUAGUGAUAGAUAGAAUGACUGAAUUAUUCAACCGAGUGUGAGAUGAAGAGAGAGUGCCAAGAAAGUGGAAUGAGAGCCAAGUGUAUCUGUUGCAUAAGGGAUGAUUUAAGAGUAAGAAUGAGUUGAAGAGCUACAGACCAAUUGCAUUAGUGAAUACAAUAGAUAAAGUUUUCAGUGCAGUGUUGAAUGAGAGACUGUGUAAAUGGAUUGAGAGAGCUGGAGUGCUGGGUGAAGAACAGAAUGGUUUUCAUGUGGAUAGGAGAGCUGAGGACAAUAUGUUUGUGGUGAAUGAAAUGAUUGAGAAGAAAAAGAAGAAUGGGGGUAAAUUGUACCUAGGUUUUCUGGAUAUAGAGAAAGCUUAUGAUAGAGUGAACAGAGAAAUGCUAGGUAGAGUCUUAGAAAAGAUUGGAUUGAGUGCAAAGAUAGUUAACAUAGUGCAAAGUAUGUAUGUGGACACAAGAGCUAGAUACAGACAUAGAAACGGAUUGGGUGAAGAGUGAGAGAGGAGUUAGGCAAGGCUGUAUAUUGUCACCAACCCUUUUUAGCCUGUAUACAGAGGAGCUAGCAGCCAGGAUGAGAAGAAUGACUAAGGGUAAGUGUGGGGAAUGAUAAAGUAUGUGUGCUUCUUUAUGCAGAUGACGUAGUUGUUACGAGUGAAUCGGCAGAUGAGCUUCAAAGUUUGUUGGAUGUUGUGGAUGGGUAUGGGAAAGACUUUGGAGUAAGAUUUAGCAGUGAGAAAAGCAAGAUAAUGAUUGAAUAUGUCAGAGGAUGAAAGUAAUGUGGUAUGGAGACUUGGAGAGAAUGAGUUGAAACAGGUGUAAGAAUACAAAUACUUAGGGAUGUGGAUGAGUCCCAGUGGGUGUGCAAAGGCAAAGAAUGAAAAGAUAAGUAUGGUAAACCAGUGGGUAGGUCGAUUGGGAAGCUCGGCAAGGAUGAGAGCAAGUAAGUAUGAUGUGUUGAGAGAAGUUUGGAAGAGUGUGGCUGUGCCAAGUAUAAUGUAUGGUAUGGAUGUGAUUGCAUGGAAUGAAAGUGAAAUUGAUAAGUUAGAAGUGGGCCAGAAUAGAGUAGCAAGGAUGGCACUGAGUGCACUGAGGUGCACAGCAGUUGAAGCCUUGAGAGGUGAUAUGGGAUGGAGUACCUUUAGGGAAAGACUCACAAAAGCCACACUUAGGUACAAGAUUAGGCUUGAGAGAAUGGAUGAUCCAAGAAUAGCAAGGAAGGUGUGGAAUGAAAGUGGAAGCAAAUGGAGGAAAAGGUGCAUGAGAAUGAUAGACAGGAAUGGAUUUUAAGUUGUGUGAGCGAUAAGAAUGGCUGGGAGGAAUCAAAAUGAGCGUGAAUGGGUAGUAACAUGAGGAGGCAAAGUGGGAGCUGAAUGGGAUGUGAGAAAAUGGAAGAAUGAGAUACAGAAGUGAAAUGUGUGGGACUGAAUGAAUGGAAGAAUGAGAUGGAGAAAGAAGACCCUGGAAUGGUACAAGGAAAAAGGGGUUCCGAGGUAUGAAAGGUGGUAUGAUGGAAGCCUGGGUGGUGAUCUCUUCCGAGCGAAGGCACAGUGUAUCGAUGUAAACGCAUAGAGUUACAGGUGGUCUGAGUCCCGCAGCAAAGUGUGCCAGAUGUGUGACAUGGGAGAGGAUGAGACGGUGGAACAUGUGGUGCUGGAGUGUGCGAAGUAUGCCAGAGACAGGAAUGAGAUGAUGCAAGUGAUACUGACUGAGUUAAGGGAUGAUAGGAAUGAAAGAGUGGAGAAGAUAGGAAAGGAGUGGAUGGUAUUGUUGCUGGGACUAUGUAGAGAGGCGAAUGAAAGAAUGAUUGAGGCGGUGAAAGAGUUUCUGGAGAGAAUGUGGCGUGCCAGAUGUAGGAACAAUUAGUGUAGAGGAUGCUGUUCGUUUCUUCUUUUUUUUUUUCCUUCUACAGGAGAUGCCGAUCCAAAGGCCUGGUUUAGGAGUGAUCCCGAGCCACUUGUACCAUCAAGAUCAAGAUCGAUCACAUCGGAAGACAACACCAAUUAUUCCCGAAGAAGUUACGGCGGCUUCCUAGCCUGUGAUUGCCUCAUAGAACGUCACUAGGGUACAUAUGAUCCAAGGGGAUCAUCGAAGUCCUCAGGAGGAAGAAAAAGGAGAACAACAAUAGCACCAGACCCUACACGUCCCCAACAAAUCCCCAACCAAAACAAAACACCAACCUUUGGGACCUCUCUGUCUCAUAUACGGUGACACUGUACAGCUGGUAACCGAAAAGGACUAAAAGAAGCAGCGUGUGGUGUGAUUCUAGCAGAUCCAAACGGAAGAUCUGGCCUCUUCCAUGCUAUCUUCCUCUACUGCUGGUGGAGGCUGCCUCUGUUGGUGACCAAGUGGAGGAUAGAGGCUUGUUGCUUCAACUAAAAAGUGGUGGAGGCAACUAUUGUUGUACUCAAUGAUGAUGGAUGAGAUGAAUGGAAAUGAUGAAGCAGCUGUGCAGCAAGGUGUAAUGAACAUAUAUGAAGAGAGAGAGAGAGAGAGAGAGAGAGAGAGAGAGAGAGAGA